UGGCUAUGAUUACAUUAUUUAUCCGCGCUUCUGAGAGCAAUCGCUGAAGCAUAUAGAUAAAAAUUGGUUGAAUUUCUUGAUAUGAGCCA
rnacentral:snoRNA from 1 species